CCUGGCCGGGAGGAACAGAGCAGGUGUCCUCUUUCAGCCAGCUGGGGUCACCGUCCCCUAAGAGCCCCUCUCCCACCCCCGGCGGUCCCUCCUGCCCCACGCAGGUCUCGGUACUCAGGCUCAUCAGGACUUGGCUGGGCUCCAGGCAGUCGCCCGGGGAGCACCGCUGCCAAACAGGCCCCAGGAAGGCCCGGCCUCCAAGCUGCGCAUUGCCAGGCAGGCUGGCCCCCAGCCAGCGGGCCCCCAGAUGCCAUGCAACCCACACCUGAGCGGGGGUUGCUAUCUCCCGACCUCCUUUGUAAGUCCUAGCUCACACCUGCAGGGACUUUCCUAUUAGGUGAAGGCACAAAGAGGAAACAGAGAGUCCGUAUCGACUUCACGAAGCAGGAGGUCAGUGAUCGGCUUCAGGCCGGGCUAGUUCUCACCCGGUCUCUUCCUGCUGGAGGGGAAGCCUCGCUAUUUAGAGUUCAUGGACAAGAAAGCCAAAGACACUUGUUCGAAGUCACGGAGCUCCAGGAGCAGGAUUCUGGGGCCAAUAGAAUCCAGAGCUUCAGCUGGAGAGGGCUGCACUCGCGUCCCCGAGACAACACCACCCGAGGACAAGGGCGCAUCUGUGGAAGCACAGGGACAUUCGACUGCGAAUGUGAUUUUGUUCGGCCUCGUGGAAGGAGGUAGCACUGUCAGGUGGGAACAGAUAUUUAAAAAUUGUGGAAAUGAAACUCUGUUCCACUG